UACGGAGGAUCCGAGCGUUAUCCGGAUUUAUUGGGUUUAAAGGGCGCGUAGGCGGCCUUGUAAGUCAGGGGUGAAAGACGGUAGCUCAACUAUCGCAGUGCCUUUGAUACUGCAGGGCUUGAAUGUACUUGAGGUAGGCGGAAUGUGACAAGUAGCGGUGAAAUGCAUAGAUAUGUCACAGAACACCAAUUGCGAAGGCAGCUUACUAAAGUAUGAUUGACGCUGAGGCACGAAAGCGUGGGGAUCAAACAGG
rnacentral:rRNA from 1 species